ACUUGCAUCAACACCAGAGUUAUAACGUCUGAGUUUCUUUAGAUUUUUCGCACAAUUGGGAUUUCAUAAAAACAUCCAAUUGAUCGUGGAAACCAAGGAAUUGAUUUCCAGCUUAAUUAGGAAAUUGUGUUGUAGUAUGGAAACGGUGUUACAAAGGAAACUGGGUUGUUCAUAAAAAUUUAAGUCGUAUUACGGUCAAUAUUCCCGGUAAAUCUUUAAUUGUAAGAUGAAAUUAAUUUUUUACACAAUUUGGGUUGUCAUUGAGCCGGGAAGCCAUGGAUGAAAGUGAGUUUUCUGCCAUCGAUUUUGGAUGAUUAACAGAGCUGAAUGAAAAGAUUAGCAGGCAUAUGCGAGCCUGUGGAAGAUCAGAAAUGAUGGGUUGGCCUUGAAUUAGAGUUCGAUAGGUUUUUGGUGAAGUAUUGCAAUGAGAACAAACCAAGUUUGCUGCCAUCAAUGUGGGGGUGAAUGAAUGAGAUUUAUGGUUGUUCUUUGAGAAUUUGUUAGUGUCUAAAAUAUGGAUUGUGUACGAAUUCUUCUUUUCGGGGAAGUAGAACAAAUAAGUAACAGGAAGAGUACCUAGAGUUUCCUUCCAAUCAACAACUCGAAUUGCAUAUAACUGUUUGUUUAAAUGCCUGAACGAUAGCUGCAGCUUUUGUUUUUCACUGAACCGAGCUGUUACCGGCAGUUAAGAGUGGUGUUGUUGCAAGCAAAUGAGACAUGAUUCCAGCUUAUUUUUAACUCUUCAAGGGAGGAAUUGUAGGGAUAUGAGAAGGUGGAGAACAUUGAGUUGGUAUGAUACACACUCUAGCAAUACUGCUUGAGUCCCCAGGAAUUGUUCCCAUCACUGCACCACUGGGAGUGAAAAGCUCACCUCUUAAAGACCAAAGUUGAAAUAUGGAACACUACUACUCGAAUUGUGAUGCUUAAAUCAAUGGUCAAGUCUAUCAGCGGGUCGUGUUCGUUUCUCCAUGUCGUAACCAACACUCUGCUUCCUCACUGGUGCUAAUUCAAUCUUCCUUCACAGUUGAAGGUCGAUUUACACACGCCUUCUUCUGCAGAAGACAUGGACCCUGAAUUUGAAGCUGCUCUUCCCCCUAAUAUCUAACCAGAAGUAUCAACACAACAGCGGGCACAAAGGGUUAUACAAUCUCGUCAAGAUGAAGGUCAAGAGGCUGACAUGGAUAAUAUUUCAAUUAUAGCUGAGUACAUUCCAUGUUGAUCCACUUGAAGAGACGGUACUAUCCGCCCUACCUUCUCUGUUACUUUCUGAAGCCUGGAUGCUAAGAGAUAGAUAAAUGAGUCACUAUCAGGCAGGUAACCUUUUUGGAAGCACCAAUAAGCUUACUAUUGGCAGGAGGAACAAUUUAGGAGUUGAUAGGCAUGCCGUGAUGGAUUGGGUGUUCGAGUUUUAACCGGAUGACGGGCAGCUUCAGGCUUUGUAUACCAUCUAAAGGUGAGGGAUAUUGGAAGUGCACCUUUUCUGGAUGCAGAUUCUCUAAAAGCUUUGGUUCGGUUCCCAAGGCCAUUUCAGGCUACAAGUGGGUCAAAGAAAAGUCUCUCUCUCACUCUCGACGUUAAUUUUUUUUUAUGUAAUGGAAGUGCUGGUGUUGUCGGAAAUGGUGGUUGCGCUCUUAAGUUUAGAACUACCAUUAUUUAUGAACUAUGAACUAUGCGACAUGGAUGCGCUCUUUAUUAAUGCGUCCUGAGAUAUGGAUAGGCUUCCUACUGUUGUUCUUAAGCA